AAGAAUUUAUUUUUCUUUUUGUUUUUUGUUUUUAAGAAAAAAAAAGAAUAUUAACAACUGCUGCCCUUACCUUCCGAACGAAAGCUUCGACGACGCUGCCUCUGCAACUUCGUAAGGUCUCUCUCGCUCCUGCGCCGUUGUUUAGGUUUAGCGGCCAACACCCAAUCUCAAAACUCCGUCGAGCUGCCACUUUUUACGUAAAUAGCCAUGGAUGAAGACCAGGAAAUGGAGAGGUUUGGAAUGGAUAAUGAUUUUGAGGAUGCGCAAUGGAUUGGCGGUGAGUUUUACUACCGUAAGCGCAAGGACAAGCCGGUUCAGACCAAAGAGGAUGUCCUCUAUGGCGUUUUUGCUGGUGAUUCCGAUGAAGAAGACGACGACUAUGGGUAUUCCUCCAAGAAGCGACGCAAUCGAGGCCUUUCGCAGAAACCCGACCUCACCAAGCCUGUAAAUUUUGUUUCUACUAGCACAAUUAACAAUUCCAAGCAACAACCACAACAACAAGAUGAUGGUGAUAGAUAUCGUGAUAAUGAUGAUACCCAAGAGAGCCGUUCUGGUCUAGGUCUUGGUUUUGGGAAUGCUGGAAAUUCUGGAUUUGGUCUCGGAUUCAGUUCGGGGCCUUCAAAUGUAGAUGUAGUGGAGAAUGGGAAUGAUGAUGAUGAUGAUGAUGGUGAAGCUGAUGAUAGUAGUUUUUUGCCCACGGCUUUUGGUAGGAAGAUAAAGGAGGGAGCCCAAAAGAGAGAAAAGGAGAGGGAGAAGCUCAAAUUGCAAAACAAUUCUAAGUCUCAGUCUCAGGGGGGUAGACAGCAAUCCAGUUUUGGGGAUGUGGGGGUUUUUGAGAAGCACACCAAGGGGAUAGGGAUGAAGCUGCUUGAGAAAAUGGGGUAUAAAGGAGGUGGCCUUGGUAAGAAUGAGCAAGGUAUUGUCACCCCAGUUGAAGCUAAACUGAGGCCCAAGAAUAUGGGUAUGGGGUUUAAUGAUUACAAGGAGAGUGAAAAGUUGUCUGCCCUGAAAGAAUUGGAGGAGAUGAGGAACAACGCAAAGAAUAUGCUGGGUUCGACUCAGCAAUCAGCCGGAAGAGCUAAAGAACGGCUCUGGUCUAAGCGAGCAUUGGCGAAGAAGAAGAAUAAGGAAAGUUACAUUACUGCUGAGGAGUUGCUGGCCAAAAAGCAGGAAGAGGAUGGUGGGGAGGUUUUUGUUCAAAAGGUUUUGGAUAUGCGGGGACCCCAGGUUCGGGUCUUGACCAAUUUAGAGAAUUUGAAUGCUGAAGAGAAAGCUAAGGAAGAGGAUGUUCCUAUGCCUGAGCUUCAGUAUAAUCUGAAGUUGAUUUUGGAUAUGAUUGAGCUUGAGAUUCAGAAGCUCCAUAGGGAUUUGACAAAUGAACGAGAGACGGCAUUCAGCUUAAAAAAUGAGAAGGAAAGGUUGGAAAUUGUGGUGGGCGAACAGAAGAAGCAGUUGGAUGGUUUUGAUGAAAUCAGGACCAUACUGGACCGACUGAAGGAAGAGAAAUUAAAUGGAACCUUGACAUUAGACUCACUUGCAAAAUGCUUCAAUGACUUGCGGAGGAGAUGUAGGGAAGAGUAUAAGUUAUGCGAGUUGUCAUGGAUUGCAUGUGAGUUUGCAGUACCCUUGUUUAUUAGGAUGUUUCAGGGUUGGGACCCACUUCGAAACCCGUUGCAUGGUGUCGAGGUGGUAUCUUCAUGGAAGGCUUUGCUUCAGGAAGAGGAAUCCCUAGAUAUUUGGGAUUCAACGUCCUCUCCUUAUGCGCAGCUGCUUAUUGAGGUUGUGGUACCUGCCGUUAGAAUUUCCGGCAUUAAUACUUGGCAGCCUAGGGAUCCUGAACCAAUGCUCCGGUUUUUGGAUUCUUGGGAAAAGUUGCUGCCCUCUUCAAUCCUUCAUACUAUAUUGGAUGUAGUAGUAAUGCCAAAAUUGAAGAAAGCUGUGGACUCAUGGGAGCCACACCGAGAAACUGUUCCCAUCCAUGUAUGGGUGCAUCCGUGGCUACCAUUGUUGGGACACAAAUUGGAGGAGGUAUACCAGACAAUACGCUUCAAGUUGAGCAACAUUCUUGGCGCUUGGCAUCCAAGUGAUAGUUCUGCUCUAGCUAUACUAAAGCAUUGGAAGACUGUGUUUGACUCAGCCAGUUGGGAACAGCUUAUGCUGAGAUUUAUAGUUCCCAAGUUGCAGCUUGUCAUGCAAGAGUUCCAAGUGAACCCUGCAGACCAGAAGCUAGAUCAGUUUUGUUGGGUCAUUGAUUGGGUUUCUUAUGUUCCUACUCAUUUCAUUGUGGAUAUCAUGGACAAGUUCUUUUUCACAAAGUGGCUACAAGUUUUGUACCACUGGUUGUGUUCAAAUCCAAACUUUGAAGAGGUUUUGAAAUGGUACUCAGGUUGGAAGGAUCUUUUUCCCACCGAGCUUCAGGCAAAUGAAAAUAUCCGUUUUCAGCUUCAUCGUGGUCUUGAAAUGAUGGACCGGGCUGCUGAAGGCUUGGAGUUAGUCCAACCUGGUUUGAAAGAAAAUCUUAGCUACCUUAGGGUUCUUGAGCAAAGACAGUUUGAGGCUCAGCAGAAGGCAGCAGCACAUCUUCAACAGCAAGCUGGUGGACUCGACAUGAGCUUGAAAGAAGUUAUUGAGGCCCAUGCUCUACAGCACGGUUUGCUUUUCAAGCCUAAACCUGGGAGGAUGCACAAUGGGUUGCAGAUAUAUGGUUUUGGUAAUGUAAGCAUUAUAAUUGAUUCUCUAAAUCAAAAGGUUUAUGCCCAAACUGAGGAAGUUUGGUCCCUAGUAUCCCUUGAAAGGUUGCUGGAAUUGCACAAUAGUUCUCUUACAAGAAGACGCUGAGCUUUGGAGUAGCCUUUGUAUUCGUUCUCCAUAGAUCUAGAAGACAUAGGUUGCCUUAAUUCAUAUGCUCUUCAGCCUGUAAUGACCGAAAAGCCUGUAAUGACCUGAGUUCAUGGUGAUUGCAUGUGGAGACUUUAUCCUGGGUUUCCAACCUCGAGAAGCAUUUACGGACUGCAAUAUGCAAAUAUGGUACCCCUCUUUGAGAGUAGCUUAUUGGCUUAUUUGGAAAUGGAGAUGCUGUGCUGUAUUUGAUAAGCUUUUUAGUUGGCCAACUAAUGCUAGUAUUACUAUUAAGAGGUAUACCUGGGGAUAAGCAGGUUGUGAUGCAAAAUCAAGGAUGUGGUUCUCCUAAACAGAUCUAUUGGUUAGCUUGGAAAGCUUCUGUUGAAGGUGUUGUGAAAUUGAAUACCGAUGGCAGCUAUAAAAUGAGUUUGGGUGAUCUUCAUAUCAACCAUCCUUGUUUUAGUCUCAUAUCUAGUUGUAGAAAUGCUUUGUUGCAUAAUUUUGGCUCCUCGUUUGAUUACCAAUGGCAGCUAUAAUUUUGGUUUCAUA